rnacentral:rRNA from 1 species
GAAAGUAAAGAAGGGCGCAUGGCGGAUGCCUUGGCUCUCGGAGGCGAUGAAGGACGUGAUAAGCUGCGAUAAGCUCCGGGGAGGUGCAAAUAACCUUUGAUCCGGGGAUUUCCGAAUGGGACAACCCGGCGUGUUGAAGACACGCCACCUGAUCAUUUCAGGAGCUAACGCAGGGAACUGAAACAUCUUAGUACCUGCAGGAAAAGAAAAUAACAAUGAUUCCCCCAGUAGUGGCGAGCGAACGGGGAAUAGCCCAAACCGUUCAUGUUACGGCAUGAUCGGGGUUGUAGGACUACGUCGUUGCAUGAAGACAUCGGAGAAGAACUUUCUGGAAAGAAAGACCAUAGAGCAUGACAGUUGCGUAUUCGUAUGUUGUCGAAGCAUAGUAGUAUCCUGAGUAGCGCGGAGCACGAGGAAUUCUGCGUGAAUCUGCCGGGACCAUCCGGUAAGGCUAAAUACUCCCGAGAGACCGAUAGCGAACCAGUACCGUGAGGGAAAGGUGAAAAGCACUUCGAACAGAAGAGUGAAAUAGUUCCUGAAACCGUGCGCCUACAAGCGGUCGGAGCUGCUUAAAGCAGUGACGGCGUGCCUUUUGCAUAAUGAACCUACGAGUUGCCUUUGCCGGCAAGGUUAAGUGUGACGACACACGUAUCCGAAGCGAAAGCGAGUCUGAAGAGGGCGUAUAGUCGGCAGUGGCAGACGCGAAACCAAGUGAUCUACCCUUGGCCAGGUUGAAGGCUGGGUAACACCAGCUGGAGGACCGCACCAAUAAGCGUUGAAAAGCUUCUGGAUGAGCUGAGGGUAGGGGUGAAAGGCUAAUCAAACUUGGAGAUAGCUCGUACUCCCCGAAAUGCAUUUAGGUGCAGCCUUGUGGGUUACUGAUGUGAGGUAGAGCGACUGAUAAGAUGCGAGGGCUUCACCGCCUAUCAAGUCUUGACAAACUCCGAAUGCGCAUCAGUUUUACCUCAGGAGUGAGGGCAUGGGUGCUAAGGUCCGUGCCCGAGAGGAGAAGAAUCCGGACCACCUGCUAAGGUCCCGAAAUGACAGCUAAGUUAAACUAACGAAGUCUGACUGCUAAGACAGCUAGGAUGUUGGCUUGGAAGCAGCCAUUCAUUUAAAGAGUGCGUAACAGCUCACUAGUCGAGGAGUCUGGCGUGGAUAAUAAUCGGGUAUUAAGUUGUCUACCGAAGCAGUGGGAUCAUUGAAAUGAUCGGUAGGGGAGCAUUCCAGUCAGCGUCGAAGGCGUACCGCGAGGUAUUCUGGAGCGUCUGGAAAAGCAAAUGUAGGUAUAAGUAACGAUAAAGGGGGCGGGAAACCCCCUCGCCGAAAGACUAAGGUUUCCUGAUCAACGCUAAUCGGAUCAGGGUAAGUCGGGUCCUAAGGCUCAGCCGAAGGGCGAUGCCGAUGGCAGAAACGGUUAAUAUUCCGUUACUACCUCCAGGAGUGAUGUGGAGACGCAGUAGUGACAAUGCCGCCAUCUGACGGAAUAGAUGGUUGAAGGGUGUAGAUGUUGAUCUUGGCAGGCAAAUCCACCAUGAGAAUCGAACCUGAUAGUAUGCCGCGUCCCUCGGGACAAGGCAAUAGUGCAUGUAAUCAUGCUGCCAAGAAAAUCCGCUAAACUAAAUCCUGUAGGUACCCGUACCGUAAACGGACACACGUAGUCGGGAUGAAUAUUCUAAGGCGCUUGAGUGAUUCACGGUUAAGGAACUAGGCAAACUGACCCUGUAACUUCGGGAUAAAGGGUCCCUACCCGGUGACGGGAGGGCGCAGAGAAUAGGUCCAGGCAACUGUUUAACAAAAACACAGGGCUGUGCUAAAUCGAAAGAUCCUGUAUACAGCCUGACACCUGCCCGGUGCUGGAAGGUUAAGAGGAGACGUCAUCGUUGAGAGAAGCGUUGAAUUGAAGCCCCAGUAAACGGCGGCCGUAACUAUAACGGUCCUAAGGUAGCGAAAUUCCUUGUCGGGUAAGUUCC